ensembl:lncRNA
CAUGGGCCGGAGUCGUGGGAGUCGGGACGGAGCUGAAAAUGGAUAAGCGUAAGAAACGCCCGGGUGGCACUGAAAAACUGCGACUCUCUGGAGGUCAUGAAUUUGGUGAGGAGUGUAGCUGGCUGGCUGCGGACGAGGAAGACCUACAAAUCGGAGGAGGCCUUUGUGGACAUAAACAACAUUUUGCGCCGAGGGGACAUCAUUGGCGUCCGCGGUGGGGACCAACAUGGUGGAGUACAUUCAUCAAUCCGAGAGGAGUCAACCAAGUCCUCAUAUUCUGUGCCUCGGAGAUGAAUUUAAGACAAGUCAAGCAUGUACACGAGUGAGGGAGGGUGUAAAAUACUUUCAAUAAAUCCAUAU